rnacentral:lncRNA from 1 species
UUAAUUUAAACAAAAAUGUUCUUUAGAAGAUAAAAAACAUAAAAUCAAAUAUUAUGGUUCUACUUACCAAAGAUAUCUAGAUAACAGAAAAUUUGAACCAACAAGCGACCUGAAAAUCAACAAAUCAUUCAGGAAAAUUUGAACCAACAAGCAUGCAAGUAGUCGACCUAAAAAUUUUCAAAAUGCUGGUUUGGAAUCAACAUACCCAAUAACCUUAAAGGCAGCAACAAAAUAUUCAAAACCUGUCUGCAGAAGCGACAUACUACAACUGACCAACAUUUCCCGGAAGAAGUCUCAUGAAGACCACUGCGUGUAGCCCACCUCGCAAUGUUCCCAAUAUAAGGAAUUUCAUACUUUUCCGCAAAUUCCUUUUCUACACUUAAAUCUGCAAGGAAUUCUUGAUCAGGAUUCUCAAUUAUGCAUGGCUGGUUGUUGAUGACACUCUAUCAUUACUAAUUUAGUAGACAUUUUUCAUGUAAUUUUUAUUGAUAUUCAUUGUAAUUCAUGGGAGCUGUAAGCCACUAAAGCCAAAAAUCUGAAGUUUGAAAGAUUGGAAUUCGGCUGUCGAAUAUACUGAUUCAGCCACCGAAGGCUGUGGCUCGGCCACCGAAUUUCCUGAUGGGCCAAGCGUUUUUAACCAAUUUGACCACCGAAUGGAGAGGCUCCGUGGCCGAUUUUGACAGACUUAUAAAAGGAGAAGUUCAUUUUUAAAGCAGGAAUUCACAAUUUUGGAGAUCUAAAGGCAUAUUUUGGAGCUGAAGCUUUGCAAACAUGGUGGAAGACCCGCAAAUCUCAUAGUCGGUUAUCAAUUUAUGUAUGAAUCCUUUAAAUUUAUUUUAGUUAUAUUGUACUUUAGCUCUGAUGUAAUUUUAUGGGAACCCUAAUUUGUU